rnacentral:rRNA from 16 species
CUGGUAACUGAAGCCCUGGUGAACGGCGGCCGUAACAAUAACGGUCCUAAGGUAGCGAAAUUCCUUGUCGGGUAAGUUCCGACCUGCACGAAUGGCGUAACGACUUCCCCACUGUCUCCAGGAUAUGCUCAGCGAAAUUGAAUUCUCCGUGAAGAUGCGGAGUACCCGCGGUUAGACGGAAAGACCCCGUGCACCUUUACUGCAGCUUCAGAGUGGCAUUAGGAAAGAACUGUGUAGCAUAGGUGGGAGGCUUUGAAGCAUCGGCGCCAGC